rnacentral:lncRNA from 1 species
AGCCCCGAGCAUCCCCCCCAACCCGGAUUCACCAGUGCAGCCGCAGCCCAAGGUGAACCGCACGGCCUGCACACUGCCAGGGACGGGCACCUCGUUACCUAGCAAGGCAGCAAGGCAAGCACUCUGCAUCCCAAAGGUGGCUCUGGGGACCUUGACAGAUGCCCGGGCUGCCACAGCCGGAUCAGUCCCGCCCCUGUGCAUGCUGAUCUUGGGGCACCACAAAGGAAAAUCAGGUCUUCCCGACGACGUGGAGAAGGAAAGCGCCACUGACCUUGGGCGGAAGGCUGGGAGCCUUCAAGGUCACGACGAUGGAAAACUCCUCGGGGAAGAGGUCACAUCGGGAGAAAAUCCUCGAGGCCGGGAAGCUCGCUGUGCGGGGCGCGGCCGCCGACAGCUGGAGGCCCCGCACGCCCUGCGCCUGCACCAUCUUGAUCCUGCCUGGGGCGCCGCUGGACGGGUACACCUCUGCCAGGAUGUCCAAGGGGCGCAGGGCCUGAGGAGGCAGGGCACACUGGUCUUGGGUCGGAUGGGGGCCAUGACAUUUCUCACGGAGCCUAGAGGCCUGAAGGAGCUGGGCUGAGGUCACGUGUCCUGCAGGACCACGGCCAGUGUCCUCCUGGAGGAUCCCGGGCAGCGCGUGUCUCAGGUGGGUGUGGGCUGGUAGGAGUGGAUCCUUGGGUCCCUGGGACAGGUCGCUUCCAAGGGUGGGAGGUGUUUGGGUUCCCGAUGACCAGAGCAGGGCCCUCCCUGACUGGAAGACUUGUCAGUGUGGACUGGGCAGAGCUGCAUCCAGUGCAAGUGGUGAUCCUGCCCUCGGGUCAGGGCACAGUCUGCACCCAGCCCCAGAGACAGCUCAGGAGCCCGGAGGCCGUGCUGCUUCCAGGGAAAGUGGGCUGGGAGUUGGUGCUGGUUCACAGGGAGAAACACGGUGUGCCACUCUGGGCCCUGGUGACCGGGCAUGAGGAGAGGACACUAGGGCCCAUCACCAAGGCAUGGAGCAAACCCUGCAGCAGCAGUCGGAGGCAUCGGCAGACAGGGGAGCUGGAAGCAACGG